rnacentral:rRNA from 1 species
UACGAAGGUCCCAAGCGUUAUCCGGAUUUAUUGGGUUUAAAGGGUGCGUAGGCGGCUUAUUAAGUCAGUGGUGAAAGCUCCAUGCUUAACAUGGAAAUUGCCAUUGAUACUGAUGAGCUUGAGUAGAUUUGAAGUGGGCGGAAUGUGUCGUGUAGCGGUGAAAUGCUUAGAUAUGACACAGAACACCGAUUGCGUAGGCAGCUCACUAAACUCGUACUGACGCUGAGGCACGAAAGCAUGGGGAUCAAACAGG